GACAAGCGCUGCACCAACUGAAGCUCCGAAACCACUAGCACCAGAGCUGAAAAUAAUUUCUCCAGAAGUAGCAACAGCACCAGAAACAGCUGGACAGGAAGCCGCUACAGCACCAGGAGAGACAAGCGCUGCACCAACUGAAGCUCCGA